rnacentral:snRNA from 1 species
AGCCAUGCAAUGAGCACAUAGCGAACUAUUCUUUAGCCUUUUACUAAAGAAUACUGUGUGCGCAUUGUAAUUAGUGGCAUACGCCAAUUUUUAGAGAACGCCUCUAAAAAGAGGAC